UACGUAGGGCGCAAGCGUUGUCCGGAAUUAUUGGGCGUAAAGAGCUCGUAGGCGGUUUGUCACGUCGGCUGUGAAAGCCCGGGGCUUAACCCCGGGUCUGCAUUCGAUACGGGCAGACUAGAGUGUGGUAGGGGAGAUCGGAAUUCCUGGUGUAGCGGUGAAAUGCGCAGAUAUCAGGAGGAACACCGGUGGCGAAGGCGGAUCUCUGGGCCAUUACUGACGCUGAGGAGCGAAAGCGUGGGGAGCGAACAGG
rnacentral:rRNA from 1 species